AUGCUGCUUUUCUUGUUUUGUCCAAAAACUCGACUCUGCCAGGGGUUUCCAGCUGUGACACGCACCAGUGGCGAGUCUGGCCCCAGCUGCGAUUUCCCCAGGGAGCCCGAGGCACCGUCUCCUUCCACCUACCAAACCCAGAUCUGCAAAGUAAGCAGUCGACAAAGAACCAAGGUCCCCAACAGGCCAGGGGACAGGCGCGGACAGCCAGGACCCUGCAGACCGCCGGGCAAAGUGCAUGCAGAGGCCCACGGGGAGGGGACCUCAGUGAGAAAGGGCGUCCAAGGCUACCUCAACCUCAGUGAGAAGGGCCGGGGGAGUGGCCGCCGGCAUCCCCCUCCCUGGGGACGCUGUGCAGGGCUGGAGGCCCGCAGCCUUCAUUGCCACCAAAGCAUCACAGCGAGACCAGAAGUGACAGCAAAACCACGACGUGCAUGCGUGACCUGCAUUCUGCCCUUCCAGUUCCUCCCUGCGUCUGGGGCUAACGUGGAGGGCGGAGCACCAAGGUGGACCCAGUGUGGGGGCGGAGCUGGGGCGCUGGGCUGGGCACAGCAUUUGCCUGGAGUCGGUUCAGCUCUGCAGUGCUUGCUCCCUCAUAUCCGUGGUAUCCUCUGUGCGGUGUUAGAGCGUCAGGGAGGAGAAGAGCAGGAGCCCGCAUCACCUGCCCAUCUCCUGCAGGAACACCCCACCCUGGGGGCCACAGCCAACACUAGCUCCCACCAGGGGUGCUUGGGAAGCGACUCUAGGGGCUUGUGUUGUGGUGCAGGGGGUUAAGGCACUGCCUGUGACAUUGGCAUCCCGUGUGAGCACUGUUCAAGUCCCGGCUGCUCCACUCCCUAUCCAGCUCCCUGCUAAUGCGCCUGGGAAAGUGGGGGAUGAUGGCCCAGGUCGUUGGGCCCCGGCAACCCACAUGGGAGACUUGGAUGAAGCUCCGGGCUCCUGGCUUCAGCCUGGCCCAGCCCCAGGCUGUUGCGGCCAUUGGAGGAGUGAACCUGCAGAUGGGAGAAUCUGUCUCUCUCUGUCUCUGUCUCUCUCUCUCUCUCUCUCUCUCUCUCUCUCUCCAUCCCCCCUUACUCACUCCACCCUUGCUCCCCCUCUGUAACUCUGCCUGUCAAGUAAACAAAUAAACCUCUACAAAACAAGAAAGCA
rnacentral:lncRNA from 1 species